rnacentral:rRNA from 1 species
UACGUAGGGUGCAAGCGUUGUCCGGAAUUAUUGGGCGUAAAGAGCGUGUAGGCGGUUCGGUAAGUCUGCCGUGAAAACCUGGGGCUCAACCCCGGGCGUGCGGUGGAUACUGCCGGGCUAGAGGGUGGUAGAGGCGAGUGGAAUUCCCGGUGUAGCGGUGAAAUGCGCAGAUAUCAGGAAGAACACCCGUGGCGAAGGCGGUUCUCUGGGACGGUACUGACGCUGAGACGCGAAAGCGUGGGUAGCAAACAGG